rnacentral:rRNA from 1 species
CCAAUAGCGUAUAUUAAAGUUGUUGCAGUUAAAAAGCUCGUAGUUGAACUUCGGGGUUUACCCAUUGGUCAGGCUUAAUUGUCUGUACUGGUGAGAUAAAUCUCUACCUUCUGAGGAACUUUCAUGCCAUUUAUUUGGUGUGAUGGGAAAUCAGGACUGUUACUUUGAAAAAAUUAGAGUGUUUAAAGCAGGCUAACGUCUGAAUACAUUAGCAUGGAAUAAUGAAAUAGGGAGGACUGAUUCUAUUUCGUUGGUUUCUAGGAUCACCGUAAUGAUUAAUAGGGAUAGUUGGGGGCAUUAGUAUUCAAUUGUCAGAGGUGAAAUUCUUGGAUUUAUUGAAGACUAACUACUGCGAAAGCAUUUGCCAAGGAUGUUUUCAUUAAUCAAGAACGAAAGUUAGGGGAUCGAAGACGAUCAGAUACCGUCGUAGUCUUAACCAUAAACUAUGCCGACUAGGGAUCGGACGAAGUUAAUUAUAUAAUGACGCGUUCGGCACCUUACG